rnacentral:rRNA from 1 species
GAUGAACGCUGGCGGCGUGCCUAACACAUGCAAGUCGAACGGAGUUUAUAUUAUGAAGUUUUCGGAUGGAAUAAUAUAAACUUAGUGGCGGACGGGUGAGUAACGCGUGGGUAACCUGCCUCACACAGGGGGAUAACAGUUGGAAACGGCUGCUAAAACCGCAUAAGCAUACAUUGCCGCAUGGCAGAGUGUGAAAAUAUUUAUAGGUGUGAGAUGGGCCCGCGUCUGGUUAGCUAGUUGGUAGGGUAACGGCCUACCAAGGCGACGAUCAGUAGCCGGCUUGAGGGAGUGACCGGCCACAUUAGGACUGAGACACGGCCCAAACUCCUACGGGAGGCAGCAGUGGGGAAUAUUGCACAAUGGGGGAAACCCUGAUGCAGCGACGCCGCGUGAGUGAAGAAGUAUUUCGGUAUGUAAAGCUCUAUCAGCAGGGAAGAAAAUGACGGUACCUGACUAAGAAGCCCCGGCUAACUACGUGCCAGCCGCCGCCGUAAGAC